rnacentral:tRNA from 1 species
ACUAAUUUAGCAUAAAGUAAUGUAUCAAUUUUAGAAUUUGGAGAUGGAUUUCAAUUAGUA